UGGUAAAGAAAAACAGAAUCUUUGGCGGGUCUCAUGCUCACAGGGGUCCAUUUGAAAAUACGGUGACAAAGGUAACCUGGUCUCACUUUUAAUAAUAGCUUAAAAAUUCCCUCUUUUCUAUCUUGUUCUAUAGUCUUCCUAUCCUUUUACAGAGAAAGUACUUUUUAGCCUAAUUUUUGUUAAUUUUUUGGACAGAUUUAUAGGUGAAGAUCCAUCAAUUACUAGUAGACUACUAGAUAUUAAAUAGUGAGCAAUAAAGGAAAUCUAAAAAGUGUGUAUCUAACAAUACUAGAUUCUGUUCUCAAAAGACCGAAUGAACAUAUGCUAAUGUGUGUUUUUGCAUAUGCUUAAAAUAGAUAUAUUUUGGUAUUAGUCAUAAACUCCUAAAAUUUCUGGUCAUGCCUUUUUUAUUAGAAAAGUGAGAAAGGCAGAGUCUGUGAAAUUGAGAUGGUUAGCAGUGGACAAGUAGUCUACCA
rnacentral:lncRNA from 1 species